rnacentral:rRNA from 1 species
AUUGAACGCUGGCGGCAUGCCUAACACAUGCAAGUCGAACGGUAACGCGGAGAGCUUGCUCUCUGGCGACGAGUGGCGGACGGGUGAGUAAUACUUAGGAAUCUGCCCAGUAGUGGGGGACAACAUUCGGAAACGGAUGCUAAUACCGCAUACGCACUACGGUGGAAAGUGGGGGACCUUCGGGCCUCACGCUAUUGGAUGAGCCUAAGUCGGAUUAGCUUGUUGGUGAGGUAACGGCUCACCAAGGCGACGAUCCGUAGCUGGUCUGAGAGGACGAUCAGCCACACUGGGACUGAGACACGGCCCAGACUCCUACGGGAGGCAGCAGUGGGGAAUAUUGGACAAUGGGCGCAAGCCUGAUCCAGCAAUGCCGCGUGUGUGAAGAAGGCCUGCGGGUUGUAAAGCACUUUCAGUAGAGAAGAAAAGCCUAGGGUUAAUACCCCUGAGUCUUGACGUAACCUACAGAAGAAGCACCGGCUAACUCCGUG